rnacentral:rRNA from 1 species
GAUGAACGUUGGCGGUGUGCCUAAUACAUGCAAGUCGAACGGAGUCAGUAGCAAUAUUGGCUCAGUGGCGAACGGGUGAGUAACGCGUUGGUGAUCUGCCUUGAAGUGUGGAAUAACGUUUCGAAAGAGACGCUAAUACCGCAUGUGCUCUCGAUUUUUAGAAAGUUGAGAGUAAAGGAUUUAUUCGCUUCAAGAGGAGCCUGCGUCCCAUCAGCUGGUUGGUAGGUAACGGCCUACCAAGGCUAUGACGGGUAGGGGACCUGAGAGGGUGACCGGCCACACUGGGACUGAGACACGGCCCAGACUCCUACGGGAGGCAGCAGUGGGGAAUAUUGGACAAUGGGCGCAAGCCUGAUCCAGCCAUGCCGCGUGAGUGAUGAAGGCCCUAGGGUUGUAAAGCUCUUUUGUGCGGGAAGAUAAUGACGGUACCGCAAGAAUAAGCCCCGGUAACUCGUGCCAGCAGCCGCGGUAAACUACUCGUA